UCCUGGCUCAGGAUGAACGCUAGCUACAGGCUUAACACAUGCAAGUCGAGGGGCAGCAGGGCAAUAGCUUGCUAUUGUUGCUGGCGACCGGCGCACGGGUGAGUAACGCGUAUCCAACCUACCCCGCGGUCAGGGACAGCCCGGCGAAAGUCGGAUUAAUACCUGAUGCAGUCAGAAGAGGGCAUCUGAUUUUGACGAAAGAUUGAUCGCCUCGGGAUGGGGAUGCGUAGGAUUAGGCAGGCGGCGGGGUAACGGCCCACCGCGCCGACGAUCCUUAGGGGUUCUGAGAGGAAGGUCCCCCACACUGGUACUGAGACACGGACCAGACUCCUACGGGAGGCAGCAGUGAGGAAUAUUGGUCAAUGGGCGCGAGCCUGAACCAGCCAAGUAGCGUGCCAGGACGACGGCCCUAUGGGUUGUAAACUGCUUUUAUGCGGGGAUAAAGUGCGGCACGUGUGCCGUUUUGUAGGUACCGCAUGAAUAAGGACCGGCUAAUUCCGUGCCAGCAGCAGC
rnacentral:rRNA from 1 species